rnacentral:rRNA from 1 species
GACGAACGCUGGCGGCGUGCCUAAUACAUGCAAGUAGAACGCACAGUUUAUACCGUAGCUUGCUACACCAUAGACUGUGAGUUGCGAACGGGUGAGUAACGCGUAGGUAACCUGCCUGGUAGCGGGGGAUAACUAUUGGAAACGAUAGCUAAUACCGCAUAAUAUUGAUUAUUGCAUGAUAAUUGAUUGAAAGAUGCUAUUGCAUCACUACCAGAUGGACCUGCGUUGUAUUAGCUAGUAGGUGAGGUAACGGCUCACCUAGGCGACGAUACAUAGCCGACCUGAGAGGGUGAUCGGCCACACUGGGACUGGGACACGGCCCAGACUCCUACGGGAGGCAGCAGUAGGGAAUCUUCGGCAAUGGACGAAAGUCUGACCGAGCAACGCCGCGUGAGGGAAGAAGGGUUUCGGAUCGUAAAGCUCUGUUGUAAGAGAAGAACGGGUGUGAGAGUGGAAAGUUCACACUGUGACGGUAUCUUACCAGAAAGGGACGGCUAACUACGUG